rnacentral:rRNA from 1 species
UACAGAGGGUGCAAGCGUUGCUCGGAAUCAUUGGGCGUAAAGGGCAGGUAGGUGGUCUGAUUUGUCUGGAGGGGAAAUCCUGGGGCUUAACCCCAGAAGUGCCCCGGAAACGGUCAGACUCAUGAGUCUUGGAGAGGGUGGCGGAAUUCCCGGUGUAGCGGUGAAAUGCGUAGAGAUGGGGGAGAACACUCGUGGCGAAGGCGGCCAGCUAGACCAGUUCUGACACUGAGGCGCGACAGCGUGGGGAGCAAACAGG